GCCACGACAGAAGGCGUGAGCUAUAUCACACGAAAAUUUGGGACUCGCGCGGAUUUCCAAUUUUAUAGCCCUAAUCUCCCAAAAAAUGUAAUUUGUUCAUGGCGGGGCGGUGACUAUGGUUCCUUUGCUGAAUUCGACGUCCACAAAAAAUAUUAGACGAUACGGGUUCAAAGCCCUGGGGCCACGGCGGAUGGCGUGGGAUAUAGCACACGAAAAUUUUGGACUCCCGCG
rnacentral:lncRNA from 1 species